CGAAACAGGAAGCAAACGCAAUCAAAAGAAAUAAAGAACACUUGGCUAAAAAUCGGGCCAAUGCAGACAUACCAGGUGAUGAAAACCGACCACGACUCUACCUUGGGUUGGAAAGUGGAGCGUCUGAUUACAUCAAUGCUGUGUACAUACAUGGUUUCAAAGAAAAACGCCGAUUUCUUGUUGCACAGACCCCUUUGCCAGAGACCGUUAAUGCCUUCCUGACAUUGGUUGUCCAAGAAAACUGCUCAUGUAUUGUCAGUUUUGAGCCAGACAUGGACAA